CUCGCCUUCUCCGGUUUACUCAGUCAGGAUCCCAGCCCAUAGUGCUGCCCACACUGCUUCCUAAAAUGUUGUUAAAGGACUGGAGAGAUGACUCAUGGGUAAAGGGGACUGGCUGCUCCUGCAGAGGACCGAGGUUCCAUUCCCAACAUCCAUGCAGCAGCUCACAACCAUCUGUAACUCCUAGUUCCCGGGGAUCCGACGCCCUCU
rnacentral:lncRNA from 1 species